rnacentral:misc_RNA from 1 species
AAAAAACACUUUUUGCUGUGAAAUAAACAUUGUGUGGACGGAUUUAUAUCCAUAAGAUACUUUUUCAUCCAGCAAAUACGUUUGGAUCUGUGAGAGAAAUGCCUGAAAAAGUGUGUGCAGUGCAACAGGAACUUUAACUAAAUCUAAUUUGCUGUCUGUCAGAUACUUUUCACCGAAAACGAAAACGAAACCGACGCCAUGCCAAUGCCAAAGCAAAAGCUAAAAUUACAUUUACAAUUACAUUUUAGCCCAAAAGUCAGUUCAUUAACGAAUUUUACCCCUAACCCCCACCUACCCGUGACUCUUGCAGAGCAUCGUCCACAAUUAGCGGAGCCAUCGGAGAGGAGAGGAGGAGCCAAGGAGCCGCCGCCCAGCAACAACCGAUGGACCAUGUUGAUGCCGGUGCUGGAAUACUCGUACAACAGACACAUAGCCAAGAUACCAAAUUGUAAAAUGAGGCGAACGACGACGCUUAGAGUGGCAUCGAUGCGGAUGGGGUUGCUGUUCCUCCAACUGUUGCUGGUGCCGCUGCUCCACUGCCAGGCGGUGGAUCCAGCGGCCAGCGGUGGUGCUGGUGCUAUUGCUGGCGGUACUGUCGCUGGCGGAGGAGUCGGCGCUGGUGCUGGUGCUCCCGGAGGUGCGGCAGGGAGCAACAGCCUCAAUGGCGGACCAGCGGGUGGCACACUGAGUGCCAAUCUCACGGAAUUGGGCAGUCCCGGUGUGUAUAAUUCGACAUUGGAUAUAUAAUGCUAAUUGCAAUGUAGUGUAUGGCGUAUAGCUGACUUAACCCCUAACCCCUAACCCCUGACCCCUAGCCACAGUCCCAUUACCAUUCCCAUUCCCAGCCCCCCUUGACGACGACGCCGCCAUUUUGGCAUUUGUGUGUUGUGUGUGUGCAUUACCCGUUUCCGUUUCCGCUUGGCAAAAGCCAGAGCAAAAGCAGGGAAAGGGUUCGCCGGGCGGCAAAAACUAUUAGCUACUUGGCGCUAAAUAACCACGCCCACGCCCACGACCCUUGGCCCGACCACCUCCUCCUCCAUUCACACAGAAGCAAAACACUAAGCAUCAAUUAACCCAAUUUUCAGAAUCCAUUUUCACCUGGCCACGGAGCAUGGAGCAUGGCGCAUGGAGCUGCGGCCAUGGCGCGCUCUUUGGCUCUUUUGCUGAGUAUUUUCCUACUUUUCCGUACUUUUGUGUGGACUUAAGUGUGCGUGUUCACAGCUCCUUUUCCCUCCAUCUAUAUAUAUUUUUUUUUGAGAGUUUACCUCUUCUUUUUUGCCACCAAUCCCCAAGUGGCGACGAGUCGAAACCAACUCCCAAUUCCACCAAUCCCAGCCCCAGCCCCAGCCCCAGCCCACUUCCUUGUUUAAUCCUGGCUCUUUUAGCCAGACUUUCCUCUACUCCAAACUCUUUUCGCAGGCGUUCCGGGCAUUUGUUGUAGUUUGGUUUGGUUUUGGUUUCUGGAUCUGGACUUCAACGUGGGAGCAGCAGCAGCAGCGGCAGUAGCAAAUCAUAAUUAAUCCAUCGAUUUUGCAGCAUUCUUUUUUCAGCAUUUUCCAGCUUCAAUAAUUCACACAAAUCAUUUCAGCUAUAAAUAUAAAUUCUUUUUACAGCAUUUAACAAUGAGUUUUUCAGCAAACAAGAGAAUUUUUUCAUCACAGUAGAGUUUUUCCCUUUUAUUAUGGAUUGGAAUACAUAUUACGGAUGCAAUUACAAAUUGAUGAGCGGACGCCACAGAACUUGUACGACAGUUUGUCAGACAUCAGAUACAACGGACAGCGGGUGGUCCCUCGCAGCAUUGGUCAUCCGCAAACAGCUGGAGAGAUGCAGAUGUCCGGGAUUGGGAUUGUAUUUCUUUGAAGAAGUGACAACCCUUCAGAUACAUUUACGACUGCUGGCGGGAGUUGUGUGCUUGAUUGCGGCUCAAAGAAACAAAUUCCAUAAUGUUCCACUAUAAUAAGUGCAUUAAAUUAAAAACGAGGGGAAACGUUUGAUCAGAUCUCAUCCAGGUUCAUCAAUCUGAUAGAUACGGUUAUUCCCUAUAAUUAUAAGCUGGAUACUGGAUACAACAUUUAGUUUCUAGAGCUCUUAUGGUCCCUGAGAUUUAGGCGCUGAUCGGGACUUGGCUUGGCUAUUGAUAC